rnacentral:rRNA from 1 species
UGCCUAACACAUGCAAGUCGAGCGUGAAAGUCCUUCGGGAUGGGUAAAGCGGCGGACGGGUGAGUAACACGUGAGAAUCUUCCUUUUAGUGGAGAAUACCCUUGAGAAAUUGAGGUUAAUACUGCAUAAGUCUCGAAAGAGAGAAAGAUGGCCUAUUUGCUGUCGCUAAAAGAUGAGCUUGCGGUCUAUUAGUUAGUUGGUGAGGUAAAGGCUCACCAAGACGAUGAUGGAUAACCGGCCUGAGAGGGUGAACGGUCACAUUGGAACUUAGACACGGUCCAAACUCCUACGGGAGGCAGCAGUGAGGAAUAUUGCACAAUGGGCGAAAGCCUGAUGCAGCUUUCCGCGUGAAGGAUGAAGGUCUUCGGAUUGUAAAGCUC